rnacentral:pre_miRNA from 1 species
AUGUGCAUGACACACAUGGAGAUCUUGUUAAGAAUGCAGAUUCUGACUUGGGAGGUCUUGGUGGGAACUGAGGGUUUACAUUUCAAAUAAGCUCCCGGGUGCUGGUGCU